UUUUCCCUUCUCUACCAAUUCACCACGGGUCGGACCUCCUCCUGGCUCCCGCUCGACGACGCUGAACGCGCAGACGAGCGACCAGUGGCGCGGCGGCACGAGUGCGGGUGCGUCGCGUGGACCGCUAGCAAGCGUGGCGCCGUUGGAAGCCAACGGUGGCGCGCAGCCACGAAUGGUGGCCGUCGGAAGCGCAGAGCACGCCGGCGAGCUCGGGAAUGGGCGUCUGCGUGGCCGAGUCCACGCCCUUGCAACCAACAAGUCCAGGCUUGUUGAGACCUAAACCAAUGCAAAUCUGCUGGCCUCCGCUGCCUUCCUUGGUCCUGCAGCCAUGGGGCCUCCCCUGCCUUCCUUCGUGCCCCGCGGCCGAGCCUGCUCCUACAGUCCUACUACACCGGCUCCCCGCAUCCCGCUCCCUGCUCCUUCGACUCUCGACCAUUGGGGGCUACCAGAUCCAGAUCCAGCGGCACGGGCGCACGGCCAGGCAGCUUGGUGCGGCAGCCCCAUGACGGUGAUGGGGCUUGGAGACCAUGAGCAGUGAGCACGGCAGCCGAGGGCGUACGACACGGGGAUCGGGCAACGAGCAAGCAGCCAAUCCAUUCCCGUGCUAGAUGCAUCUCCCGUUCUAGAUACAAGGGUCUCCCUCCCUGGCUGGCAGCAACGCGACACUGCCCUCCCUCUCAGUCUCAGGCCUCCGGUGAUAAGGCAGCAGCUACUGCAGGUCCAUCUAUCGUCCUCCCUAUUAUCUACCGAACGGUUAUCUCUCAUAUUUCUUUCUCAAAUGUCCAGGGAAGCCCUUUCUCGUGGAUCUCACUAUUUUCUUACUUGAUGUACAUACUCCAACACUUCACCCUGCUCAAUCCAUCAGCUAUUGGGAUAGAUUGGCUGUUUCAGUGAGAGCUUAUCGGAGGUGUUGAUCCUUUGUCAAGCAAAGUUUAACCUACCUGGUAACCCACUACCUCUGUUCCAUUUUCAUUUCUUCUGUGGUUUGCAAUGCAGCUUUUAUGGUACAACAAUUCCUUUAUUUAACUAUAUGCAUAUGUAUAUACAUGUUUUUACGCAAAAACACAAUGUAGGUAGUAUAACUUUGUAUAUGGACAUAUACCCGUAUACAUAGUUGUGUAUAGGAGCUGAAGGUAUAUAUGUUCAACUUUGAAAGGUCAUCUCUCAGGUUAGUCAUCCUAAGUGAAGCAAUGCUUGGAAGAGUUAGUUCCAAAGCAUUGUAAAUUCAUGUUAUGCAGUAUGCUAGUGAUUCACUUUAAACAUGAUAUGUAUCUGUUUCAAGCUAGCUUUUGUAUUUUUCUGAAAAAAUAUACUUCAUUUCUGCAACAUAAUUAUUUCAAUAGAAAAAGUUAACACGGGAUGAUGGUAUUAGAGAUUUGAAAAAAGUGGUUUGUCAACCAUAUUAUCAUAGUAUCUAUUUUUUCGCUGUCAUUCCUGAACCUCAUUGCUAGAAGGACCAAAACAAAAGGGUUAGGGUUUUUUUAAUAGUUAUAAGUUUUAUAAUUUCGUUGUUGCCUCAUUGAAGUAUUUGGAUUACGAACUUAAGUCACUUUUUCGAAAUGUUGUUGGGAUUGUCAGGCAUAUGGUUCAAUCUAUACCACUGCUGCAAUUAAUAUUCCUGCAGCCAUAAGAUUCUUAAGUUAGCAAUACAAAAGCGCCAGAUAAAUUCCUUAUCCUUUGUUCCUCUCAUUAUUUGGAAUUAAGGCUUUACUUCUUCACAUUUGGUCCGAGGUGCCUAAUCAAUGCCUUAUUUCGAAACAUCAUAACUGCCCUGCCUUAGUUACAGGGAAGAGAAUUACACAUAAAAACUUCAGAUAUGCAUUAUGUUCUAUUUGUAUCAGCAAUACAAGUGGGAUUAAGUGGAGUUACAUAUGCAAGACAAUUUUUCUAUGCAAUAAUGUUCUAGGUAAAAAGAUGGACCUUUUUAAAUUAGGGAGCACAACAUGGACCUUGACUGGUGAGUUUCCAACUGAAUAUCAUUGAAUGAAGACCUUUUUAACAGUCCAAUUGAACUAUACAUAACUGAGUGCCCCUAAUGGAGAAACCAUGCUUUCGAUUUAGCACCAGGUAAUUUCUCUACAUGUUCAAUGUUUUGGUAAAAAUGAUUGACAGGGAAGAAAUUCCUUUGAGAGAUGUAUGUACAUGUUGUUGAAUUAAAAGACAAGAUAUUUUCAGGCUGAGCAAUUCUACUGCAGGCUCUAAUUGGCCGAAGAAAAUUUAGGUGCGGAAGAGAACCUCCAGCUCGAUUUACACAGUGAUUAUAAUAUAAUUGGUUCAACAGUAGAAAACAUCAUUGCCAUCUAUUACUAUAGGUUUAGCUUGGCCAAUUUAAAAAAGAGAUGAGGUGAGUUCAUGGUAAUUGAAGCUGAAUGUCAAUAUAGGAUCCUAAACCCCCAUACUUUUUUUUUGAGAUACUCUUUGCUACUUUCUGCAUGCUACAUCAUUGCCUAGCACCUAUAAUCCAACUCAAUGUAAUUUGGAUGCCAGGUAUACAUGCUUUUUACAAGACUAAAACUAUUUUAAAUUCUUUCUUACAUGCAGAUCAUAUCGCUGCUUAAUAGUUGAUCCUUUUGCUAUUGGCGGCACAGAACAACAUGGAAUUGGCAAUUCAAACAACUCGCUAAAGCCAGCACAGCUAAGGAAUUAAAGGGAAAUGUAAUUAUCAUGAAAUUCAACCCGAAUUCAAUUUACUUUUCCUUCCAUCUCCAUUUCCUCUACUAAUGCAAUUGCAGGAAGCAACAGCCCCUGAUCCAAGAACUACAAGGUUCUGAGAAGCCAUCAACUUGAUGUGAGCCAUCAAUCUAUGUCUGGAAUGAAGAAAAUAGCUACGUUCUGUUUAGGGAUUUUGCAGAAGCUAGAUUAUGGAUUGGUUGCGUGCCAGGCAUUUUUCUUGCUCUAACCCAUGAGCUUGCACGGCAAAUUGAGAAGGUCAUGUGCAUUGUGGUUUGUUCUCCCCAGCUCUGUUCUUUCCAAAAUUGCCUUUUUUUCAGGUCCAACCCGUUUUCAUGCUACAAUCAGAGCACAUUUUCUUCCAAUAUGGCUGCAGCAGUAUGCUUGAAUCUGUGACAAACACCUGCUAUCUCCAAAUCUAGAACCUGAAUACAUCGGUGCUCCAAACUCUACAUAUAACAUGCUAUUCUCGAGCUCGCCAAGUCACUAACCCUUACUAUUGUUUCUCUUAUACGGCUUUCCAUGCACAGGGGUAACAAAAUUUCCUUUCUUGUUGUGCUCUUUUUUCUUCAGAUAGGGGAUACCCUUCUUACAAGCCACACGACCAGGCUUGUAGCAAGGGUGCCACUGGUGAUGAUUGGUUGCAGUACUGUAGCAGGUAUCAGCAAACGGCUCAAGGGCAAUAACAGUAAGCCAUGUGUCUUCUGUUACAUCCUUCGAUCAGGAUUACAACUUCCUACCGACGUGGAAAAAAAUGUGUAUUUAGAUUCCUAUUAGAAAACUAAACAAAACCUCUGUAUGUGUUCCUACCUACCUCUGUAUGUGUUCCUACCUCAAUGCCCGGUAUAAAAACUACAUUACAACUAUCAAUAAAAUAUAUACGUGCUCGUUCUUCAUAAUUAUGUGUUCCUACCUUAAUUUUUACUGAAGCAGACAACAAAAGGAUACCUUAAUAGCUAGGCUUAAAAAAUUCAGGCGCGGCAAGGCGCGCGUAAAGUACUCGUGAAUAAUUAUAGCGACGGAACGACGCAUUGAUUGUGCGCGUGCGUUCACACUGGCAAACUAGUAAAGUGGACAGAACCGCGCCGCCUAGAGCGGGCCCACCGCGCCCUCCUCAAGCGCCAGCGCCCCGCCUGCCGCCUGCGUGCGCCGCCGCCGCCGCCGCUCCCGAGGACAGACCGCCGCAUCCCCCGAGGACUCCCGCGCCCGUCCGACUGUGAACCCUCCGCGCCACGCCGCCAGAGCUCCGCCCUUGUGCAUCGCCUCUGCCGCGGCUCAGUGACCCCUCCCCGCGCACGGAUGCGGCGUCCGUCGCAGGCGGCAUGGUGGACGGAGAUGCCUAGGCAGAGCCCGCGGCCGGGGAAGACGGUGGCCUGCAUGGCGGCGAGCGACGCCAGCACGCCAUCGCUGGGUCCGUAGUGACGCAUUUCUCCCCGCCGAGGACGCCAGCGCCGCUGCCCUGCCCCACCGCGCCCCGCAACGCCGACCCCGGCGCUGUGCAGGAGCUCUUCACCAUGUCGCCCACCAAGUGCUCGACAGAUUUCGUGAGCCAGGGCAUAACACCUGCAGUUUUGCAUCGCCAAGCAGGUCUGCGUGAUUCUCAUCCCCUUUCCUCCUCUUGCCAGCUGCUUGCUUAGUAGAGAUAUCUUAGAAUGAGAUCAUUUCCUUUGGACGAUGUUGUGGGCCAGUUUGGUGGAGUGAUCUUAUUUUUCUUUACUUUGGUGGAGUGAAAUUAUCCAUCUUAUGGUCUGGGCAUGCUUCCAAAGUAAAAUUUUGACGAUGGGGCUGUACAUCAGGCAAGUCUUCCCAUUCUUUAAUGGCAUUAGCUCAUGAAUAACAUUUUUUUCAACAAAUACAGUAAGGCAUUAGUGGAUCCAAGAGUGCAAUACUAUAUUUAUUUCAUGAGCUCGUCAGAACUGCAAUACUAUAGCUGAUACGGGUUUGAACUUAUCUUAUCAAGGUUUCUUUGUGUUACUAUUUUUAUCUUGUGUUAUUUGGGGAAUUUGGAAUCAGCAAAUUUAAUCCUAUGCCCCCUGCAGGGAAAUCAGAUCUGCAGUGCGAGUGAUUUUCUGAAAUGGUCUACCUGUACCAUGCCUCUACAUAGGCCGGGUAAUCCAGAAUGAUGGCAGCAAGUAGUGAAUUACGAGGAUCCUAAUCAUAUGUAGUUUAGUCUCUUGUAAAAUGUCAGAGGCUUCUCGUUGCUUCUUUGACAAUCUGUUGUUAUAUGUGUCUUCUGUAAAUACAUCUUUCUAGUAUCUUGUACUCUGGUUGUGUCAUUUACAUAUAAGUACUAUGGUGCUGUUUUUUCUAUGGAUUAAUGGUGCUUUAUGGUUCAUGGUAUUUGAUA